UAUCUAUCUAUGUAUACAUAUAUGUAUAUAUACAGUUUGUGUGUGGGGAAUAUAAGGGGGAAAAAAACAGCAAUCAUACCACAUGAGGCAUAAAGUUUUCAGCGGUAGGUGCAUGGCAUGGUAAUAUUGGAAGGCCUUGCUUCUCUGCAGACAACUAUUUUUCCUUGAUGUCUUGCUUAGACUUGCUGAAAUUAUUGAGAACUAACUUAUUAAAGCUUUCAAUGAGUCUCUUGCCGCGUCAACAACCACUACACUGUCACAUUACUGUUGCAUUAGUGAGACAUUACCGAAAGUAAGUUGGCCUAUGAGACUUGAUUGCAACAAUCAAGAAAGUUUGAGCUAGAAAUUGCAGCUAUUAUGGUUUGAGGACCAAAAGUGUAAUUUAGCCUUAUUUUAUAUAACAAACGACUGGGCAGGCAAUAAUUUUCCAAUCUCGGCUACCUAUAACUACACUCAAUUGGAAGGUCUGCUGUUUUGCAGGCAACCUUGUUCUGUCGGUUGUCUUCAAGGUGCAUAAGACUAUAUGAUGCCUCUUGAUAUGAUCGAAUGGCCGGCCCUUAAUGCUUCAUGCAAUGUUAAGGAAGCAUCUCUCCUUUAUUUUACGUUUCGAAGGAGGUUGUGAUGAUUGGCAGUUGGGAAGGCACCUCCACUUAUUUUUUCUUGGCUUUUGAUUCUUAAUGGAGUGCGGAAGCUGAUCGAAAUACUGGAUAUAAGAGGUAGUAUGGCCAACCCUAAAAACUGUACUUUUGCAAACACACAAAAAAAAAAAAAAAAAAUCCCCUUUCAUGAAUAACUGUAGAAACGGAUGGUCUGCACUUUUGCAGGCAACCUAGCAGUUACAUGCCGUAUUUUGUGGUUUGUAGUUUAAGCCAUUUCUUUACGACAUCAUUUGCCUAGCGAUCAAGCGGUUUCAAAUACAUCGUAUAUUAGACAUUAAAAUUGUUGAUUUCUGGACCACUUGACUACUUAGCAAAUGAUAUCCAAGAAUGAUGAAGUUUGAAACCUAGAAAGUUGAAAUAUCCUAGAUCAUGUUUGACGGUGUUAAUCGUCUAUCCGGAUGCCCCAUUAUCGGAAAUGACACGGAAGUAAGCUGUACUUGUAGAAGUAUUCUAGCCUCUCUUUUUCUCUCUCUCUCUCAACUUUCUAGGUUGAAAUAUAGAGCAAAAAGUCGGUGGUGGCACUAUUAUGGAUCAAUAGGUUCUAGGGUUCACUUCUUGAAGUAUCCCCCUGCUCUCGCACCCCAAAAACACACACACACACACAAAAAGAAAAAAAAAAAAAAAAAAAACUCAAAAUGUAGUUUCUCGUGGAAACUUGCUCCUGCUUGGCAUGCUAUCUUGAACGGCUAGCUCCGAUGCAGGCAACCAAUAUUUGCAUCUAUACAGGGGAUUUUAAUCCUCAGUUUGCUAUUUUGAAGCAACAAGUGUUGGAUACAGUGCACCAGAACUGAAGCAUUUGACUGAAACGUAGCUUGGCAAUCUUUGGAAGGCUUGCAAUUCUGUGAGCAACCAUUAUGCAGCUGUUUGUGUAGUUCUGUGAAGAUUCUGGUGAAAAGGGCAGAUCUGAGCCACCUC